rnacentral:rRNA from 1 species
UACGGGGGGGGCAAGCGUUGUUCGGAAUUACUGGGCGUAAAGGGCUCGUAGGCGGCCAACUAAGUCAGACGUGAAAUCCCUCGGCUUAACCGGGGAACUGCGUCUGAUACUGGAUGGCUUGAAUCCGGGAGAGGGAUGCGGAAUUCCAGGUGUAGCGGUGAAAUGCGUAGAUAUCUGGAGGAACACCGGUGGCGAAGGCGACAUCCUGGACCGGUAUUGACGCUGAGUGAGCGAAAGCCAGGGGAGCGAACAGG